ACGAACGCUGUUGUCCUCACACGGAGUCCUGGAUCGGCACCGAGUAUGCGAGAGUACCGUUUGUUCAAUAUCUGUAAUAGCUUGUUCCAGUUCUAACCACAUUUUCUUUUUCUAGAGGCCCAUUUAAGGAUGCGGAUUAAAACAGCAUACAGGCUGGUAUCUGGGAAGGAAAGGCCUCCCCAUCCUUUGGGAGUAAUAAUAGUUUAUAUUUGAGUCUGGGGUUUUUGCCUGCCCAGAUAAAUAUUGUAAUCAUGGACUUCAAACUAGAACAAGAAAGACAUUGGUAAUAGCAUGGGUAAUACUUGUAUUCAGUACAUAACUUUGGGCAUUAGCAUCCUUUUUAUUGCCUGUGUCCUGUCAUACCAUGAUCGUUUCAGCUUCCCCAAUGUUCGAUUAUCUGUUGUCAUGCACAAAAUAAAGGAGUAUAAUUUUCUUGGUUAAAUUGCUGUCAGUGCUGGUGGAGCCCGGUUACAGGAGGUGCUCCAGAUGCAAUCUUUGCUCUGGAAUUGGAUUUGCAGAAGGCUCUGGCGGGCCCAGAAAUGGUGUGGGCCCCCCACAUGCCUUGUAGUCUCUUUAUGAGACCUGCUUUUAUUUCUUCAAAAAGGUUUUAUGUGGUUUACUUUUUGACUUUUUUGAACAAAAAAAAUUUAGUGUGCACAACCUUGUGACUUACCCCUAUAGUAUAGGUCAGGGGGCACAACAAGCAAAAGUGAGAGAGAUUCUGACCCCUCAAACACAUCAUGCAUUGCAAGGCAGAGGGUACUGGCACGCUGGGUAUGUUAUACAGUGGUUACUGAAAUUCCAAGAAUAUUAAGUAGUGAAAGGCAGUAGUUACUGGUAUUUGGGAACUGGAACUUCAAUUUUUCAGUAAGAUGCAAUGGGUACUAAACAUCAGUCACACAUAUAUUUGUAUGUUGGGGACCUAUCUCUGCAUCAGGUCUGCAAAUUUGAGAACUAUCAGCAGUUUUACAAAUGACCAACUCAGUACCAGCCUCACUAUCUUUCUUGGGGUAGCUUUCUGUUUUAACAACAAUUCUUCUUCCAUGUACCAUGUGUCAAGUCAAUGGUAGGGAAGCUAAAGCUGCCCAUGCACUGGACAUAGUGCAGAAUACACAUCACACUACUGCUUUUCCUUUCUUUUUAGUUGUCAGACAAAUGAUGUGUAAGCAUUGGGCACUAGUGAUAGCUGUAUUUGAUGGCUUCAUUCCCAACAUUAUUAAAAGUAGAUUAAUGUUAUUUUUUUUGCAGUUUUGCAUUUAUUGAAACAUAGGAAAGGGAAGAAGUGUGAAGAAGUGAGCACAGGCACAGGACAAGGUUCGCUGUUUGCUAGAGAUGAUUCUUUGGAGGAUGACGACACCAUUUUGGCUGUUUUCAUGGAGCAGAGCCUUCGGCUGUGACCCAUAGAUGGUGGUAAAAACCAACACAGAGAAAAAAGACUUCCAGUGCUUUUUCUGCCGUGAGACAUGAGGACCUGAGAUGGCUCUUUACCAGAGGCAGCAAAUGGCCAAUACUGGAACCCCAAAGUCAAUGGCCUUUAUUGCAUAUUUAUUCAUACAUUACAUUCUUAGAUCAGCUGAUUAAUCUUGGUUUCUUUAUAAAUAAUACCCAUCACCUUUGUGUAUGUAAAGAAAUGACAUGAUGAAAUGAUACUUGGUCUCUGUACUGCACAGUUACAUGUAUGGUGGCAUUAUUGUGGCAUACAUGUUGCAUUUAUUACUCUCAUACCAUAUAGUGGUAAGUAGUAAAAGUACUUGGCUGUGUACUUCAGUGGUACGUUCCCUCUCUAAAGAAGAGACAACUUAAUGAGUAGUAGAAGAGACCGUUUCCAUUUACCUCAAUGGGGAGUGGCUUUAGGAUUAUGAUCAUUAUGUGAAAAUGACAUUGGUUCUGAUUGUGGAACAGCAGGCGCUUGAGGACCAAAUUCAUAUGUUAGAAGAGCAGCUGAGGUGUCUUCGCGAAAGUCUGUAGUUUGGUGACCAAACAUGAUUUCUAAAGGUGUUUUGCCAUUCUAGUAAAAUAACAAACUAACCAAAAACACAAAUGGAAAAAAAAUCAAAGACAGGCAAGUUCAUGUUGACUGAUAAUGGUUAUUAUGACAUGAAGAUGAGGAUUAUGAAGAUCUUUAUAAAAGGUUAAUAUCCAUUUUCACCUUGCAGAAAUAUUAUAAAUCCCCUUUUUUCUAUUAUCUAUAAUUCUUCUAUUAUCUAUUUAAUUGCCCAUUGACAUAUGUUUAUGAGUUUGGUGGAAUAACUAAAUUAAGACUUUUAAAUGGGGGCGCUGCAGUUUAGCCACUUUGUAAUCUGUGCCCCCCCCCCCCCAAUGAACCACCC